rnacentral:rRNA from 1 species
UACGUAGGUGGCAAGCGUUGUCCGGAUUUACUGGGCGUAAAGAGCGCGCAGGCGGUCGUGCAAGUCGCGUGUGAAAGCCCCCGGCUCAACUGGGGAGGGUCACGCGAUACUGCUCGACUCGAAGGCAGGAGAGGGUAGUGGAAUUCCCGGUGUAGUGGUGAAUUGCGUAGAUAUCGGGAGGAACACCAGUGGCGAAGGCGGCUUUCUGGACGACAACUGACGCUGAGACGCGGAAAGCGUGGGGAGCAAACAGGG